CUACGUGCCAGCAGCCGCGGUAAUACGGAGGGUGCAAGCGUUAAUCGGAAUUACUGGGCGUAAAGCGCACGCAGGCGGUUUGUUAAGUCAGAUGUGAAAUCCCCGGGCUCAACCUGGGAACUGCAUUUGAAACUGGCAAGCUAGAGUCUCGUAGAGGGGGGUAGAAUUCCAGGUGUAGCGGUGAAAUGCGUAGAGAUCUGGAGGAAUACCGGUGGCGAAGGCGGCCCCCUGGACGAAGACUGACGCUCAGGUGCGAAAGCGUGGGGAGCAGACAGGAUUAGAUACCCUGGUAGUCCACGCUGUAAACGAUGUCGAUUUGGAGGUUGUGCCCUUGAGGCGUGGCUUCCGGAGCUAACGCGUUAAAUCGACCGCCUGGGGAGUACGGCCGCAAGGUUAAAACUCAAAUGAAUUGACGGGGGCCCGCACAAGCGGUGGAGCAUGUGGUUUAAUUCGAUGCAACGCGAAGAACCUUACCUACUCUUGACAUCCAGA
rnacentral:rRNA from 1 species